rnacentral:misc_RNA from 1 species
GAUGAAGAACGUAGCGAAAUGCGAUACUUGGUGUGAAUUGCAGAAUCCCGUGAACCAUCGAGUCUUUGAACGCAAGUUGCGCCCGAAGCCAUUAGGCCGAGGGCACGCCUGCCUGGGCGUCACACGUCGUUGCCCCCCCAUCUACUCCUUCGGGAUUGCGGGGGGCGGAUGAUGGCCUCCCGUGCGCCUCGUCGCGCGGUUGGCAUAAAUGCCAAGUCCUCGGCGACGCACGCCACGACAAUCGGUGGUUGCGAAACCUCGGUUGCCCGUCGUGUGCGGUCGUCGAGCAUCGAGGGCUCGAAAAAAUUGCCGGGCUCCGGCUCGGCUUUCAACGCGACCCCAGGUCAGGCGGGGUUACCCGCUGAAUUUAAGCAUAUCAAUAAGCGGAGGA